AUGUGUCAAAAUCAAUUCUGUUCAGCCUUGCAGCAAAUAUUGCCACCAAAUUGGGUUCUUUCUCACUCCAUGAGCUUGGAUUGUUGUGGACCAGUUUCCAUUGAAGAACUUCACAAACUGAAAGACACUCUUUCCCUCAUUCAAACACUACUACUCCACGUAGAACAGAAGCAAUACAAAACUUAUGCUGUGGAGGAAUGGAAAAUAUUUGCCCAAAUUCUAAACCCUUAUUAUUUUCUUCAAUUCUCGCGCGAAGUAUCCAUCUCCAAUUUGACCGUCUUCCGGCCCCGUCCCCAUCCGCCCCUAUUUGUGACCAUCUGUUCACUUCGGCGUGGCCGUCUAUUUGCUUCGACGUGCCGAUCUGUUCACUCCAUCGCUGCCAUUAACGAACAACGAAACCCCCGCAAUCCCUGCGCAAUCUCCAAACCUUUUCAAUUCGUUCCCGUCUUCUUCGGCGCUGCCAUUCGUGCCCCUCUUCUUCGUCGCUGCCAUUCGUGCCCCUCGUCACCUCCUCUGCUGGUGAAGUUCGAAAUUGCUGCUUAUGAGAAGUUAGUAUUUGGAAAAAUUAGAGAUGGUAUUCUUGUUGUUGCAUCACAUCUACUAAUCAGUCCUAUUCAGUUCAAUCCAGUCGUGGCCGUAAUCUCCAAUCUGUCGCAUUCUCUUGAAUAUUCAAUCUGCAUCUGUGACCUCCUCUAUCGGUUUGCAGUAAUGGUUAAUUCAGAUGAUGAUCAAGUUGCUACACCCCUGAAAGAGGAGAAACUAGUAGCCAAAAAAAAGAAAUGUGGCCCUACGAGAAUGAAAGAUAUAAUACGUUUUAGUAGUGAGGGGCGAAGAAAUGUUAUUCAGUACAACGAACUAGGUCAACCUAUUGAACCGAAUGCAACAAAGUUGAGAGUUUUACUGGAACGACUAUAAGGUUUCACGUUCCUAUCACGUACUCUACUUGGCAUGUCAUUCCAAAAGAGAUGAAAGAGAAAAUCUAUAAACUAAUUGAGGCCAGCUUCAUUCUUGACCCUAAGUCGAAGAAAAGCAUACUUCAAAAUACGGGAGUAUGCUUUUGCAGAUUCAAGUCGAGAUUAACAACUACAUACGUACUACUUACAAAGGGUGCUGCAUUUUGGAUUGACCCGUUGAAGAAUCGGAUUGACGGAGACAUGACUGAAGUGCUUCAAAUGUAGGUUAUACUAUUAUUGUUACUGUCUUUAUUAUGUGUGCAACUAUUUUAAUUGUGUAACAAUCUUAUAUUAUGUGAUAGGCCAUUCAAUAUAUCAAAGAAGAAAAAACAAAAUUGGAAGGUUGUGAAGGUAUUUGACUUUGACCAAUAGGAUAGUCGUAAAUAAUUUAUUCAUUUAAAUGUUUCACACGUAUGUUUUUUAUUGUGCAUCCACAAUGUCCCAAACAAAAUGGAAUGGUAGAAUGCAGGUACUAUGUUAUGCGAUUCAUGUGUGACAUAAUUUCUGCGAGAAGUACUUUGAUUGUAGAUGUCGUAAGCAUUAGAAUUUUAAAACAUAUGUUAUGUCAUUGUUUGAAAUGAUAAUAAUUCUUAACCACUUUAUUGUCUACGUAUGAAAACUUUACCUUCUACAUACUCGCAAGAUGAAAUCGAUGAAGUUAGAUCGGAAUUGGCGGAGUUCCUUUCUAAGCACGUACAUCGUGCUUAGCAUCAGAUUAGGAAAGAACUUUUUUGAAGUAUUUUGUGGGGAUUUUUUGUUCAUAUAAUUUUGUUCAACCCGAACGACACAUAAGUAAAUGUUUAAGCACAUUGUUUUUAACAAACUGAAGCAUGAAAGGAGUAAGUUAAUAGUUAUUGUAUCGUAUCUAUAUAUAUGUGACUUGCUUAUAUGUAAGUGGAUAUGAAUGUGUGUGUGUUUAUUUGUUUCUUAGGAAGAGUCCAAUAUAUAUGUGACUGGCUAAUGAAUUUUUUUUGUUUGGGGUCCUACUGCAUUGGGAUAUGGAUCUUCUUACAAUCAAAUAACUGUCGAAGUAACAAGCUCUAGGCCUAAAUUGCCGCAAGCCAGCAAUAAUGGUAUCCAGUCGUCGUCGAAUCCACCACCGAUGUUGUCUUCGACUAUCGUUAUGCUUGCCACCACCGUCAAGUAAGUUAUUUCUUCAACCAUUGCAUAUGUGCCCAACAAUCGCCACCACCGUGUGCCCAACCGCGUCUAUCUCAUAAGCUCAAAACUGGUCUGCUCGUGGUUAGAUCUGCAUUCAAAGUGUAUUUAUCUAUAUAUAUUUUUAUGUGUGUUUCUAAUUUGUAUAACACUUAAAGUUUGUUCUUAAUUAAAUUGUAUUAUGGAUGUGUUGAACUCAAUAUUUAAUUUAAUAGAAUUCAUCAAGUAAGGAAAGAGAGAUUACCCGAAACUAAA